GGGAGGGUAAAGAAGAGAGCCAAGCUAAUUGAAAACAGGACACCCCAGUAAGGAAGUUGCAGCUGUCUCCCAAAGCCUUCACAAGCAAGCAUAGCAAGUCCAACUAUGACGAUCAACACUGUAUAGAACCACCACUGAGCAACUCCAAGAGGAGAACGUUAAAACUUAUGCUUGGACUCUCUGAAAUGGUUGGCGGGAAGAAAACGGCAUGACUUCUCAUUUGUAAUCAAAGCAGAAGCAGCUGAGGUUAACCGGCAUCACAAGAGGAAUUAUUAGUUGUUAAUUGUUAAUUAUAUCUACACUUAUUUUAUGAACCAUCUGGUAUGAGACGGCUAAAGAAGGGAUCUUUUCAUCUUACCUCAACUCUUAGCUUAAUCUAUACAUAUUUGAUGAAACACUGUUUCAUAUACAAUAAUGAAACUUAGGCCCUAAUUUUAUCA